GAUCCUGGCUCAGGAUGAACGCUAGCUACAGGCUUAACACAUGCAAGUCGAGGGGAAACGACAUCGAAAGCUUGCUUUUGAUGGGCGUCGACCGGCGCACGGGUGAGUAACGCGUAUCCAACCUGCCUACCACUUGGGGAUAACCUUGCGAAAGUAAGACUAAUACCCAAUGAUAUCCCACGAAGGCAUCCGAAUGGGAUUAAAGAUUUAUCGGUGAUGGAUGGGGAUGCGUCUGAUUAGCUUG
rnacentral:rRNA from 1 species